rnacentral:rRNA from 1 species
GCAAUGCCGCGUGCAGGAUGAAGGCCUUCGGGUUGUAAACUGCUUUUGUACGGAACGAAACGGUCUCUUCUAAUAUAAGGGACUAAUGACGGUACCGGAAGAAUAAGCACCGGCUAACUACGUGCCAGCAGCCGCGGUAAUACGUAGGGUGCGAGCGUUAAUCGGAAUUACUGGGCGUAAAGCGUGCGCAGGCGGUUAUAUAAGACAGAUGUGAAAUCCCCGGGCUCAACCUGGGACCUGCAUUUGUGACUGUAUAGCUAGAGUAUGGCAGAGGGGGAUGGAAUUCCCCGUGUAGCAGUGAAAUGC